GUGAUCCCUGGGAUUGCUUUCGCUGGCGGGCUAUAUGCGUAUACUCUAACUGGGCUCACUUCGAAGAGCCGUGAAUCCUACUCCAAUGCCGGCAUUGUUGCCGAGCAGGCAAUUGCACAAGUCCGAACUGUAUAUUCAUACGUAGGGGAAUCCAAGGCGCUGGAUUCCUACUCGGAAGCAAUACAAAACACAUUGAAGCUUGGAUAUAAGGCAGGAAUGGCAAAAGGUUUAGGUAUCGGGUGUACCUAUGGGAUAGCAUGCAUGUCAUGGGCUCUGGUAUUCUG
rnacentral:misc_RNA from 1 species